rnacentral:rRNA from 1 species
GACGAACGCUGGCGGCGUGCCUAAUACAUGCCAGUCGAACGCUGAAGCGAGGAUCUUUCUCUUCUUUGAUGGGUUGCAAACGGGGGAGUAAAGCGUAGUUAACCUGCCUUUUCGCGUGGGAUAACUAUUGGAAACGAUAGCUAAUACCGCAUAACCAUGGUUGUCGCAUGUCUGUUAUUUGAAAUGGGCUAUUGCUGCACUACAAGAUGGACCUGCGUUUUAUUAGCUAGUAGGUGAGGUAACGGCUCACCUAGGCGACGGUACAUAGCCGACCUGAGAGGGGGGUCGGCCACCCGGGACUGUGACACGGCCCAGAGGCCUACGGGAGGAAGCAGGAGGGAAUCGUCGGAUAUGGGGGAAAGGCUGACCGAGUGACGCAGCGUGGGUGAAGAAGGGUUUCGGGUCGUAGAGCUCUGUUGUUCGUCAAGAACGAGGGUGGGAGUGGAAUGGGCAGUCUGUGACGGUAGCUUAUCAGAAAGUGACGGCUAACUACGUG